rnacentral:rRNA from 1 species
GACGAACGCUGGCGGCGUGCUUAACACAUGCAAGUCGAACGGAAAGGCCUGCUUUCCCUUGUGGAUUGCGGGUACUCGAGUGGCGAACGGGUGAGUAACACGUGAGUGAUCUGCCCCCAACUUGGGUAUAAGCCUGGGAAACUGGGUCUAAUUCCCGAUAGGACUGCAGGGUGGUGCCUGUGGUGGAAAACGAUUUUCUAGUGGUUGGGGAUGAGCUCGCGGCCUAUCAGCUUGUUGGUGGGGUAAUGGCCUACCAAGGCGGCGACGGGUAGCCGGCCUGGGAGGGUGGACGGCCACAUUGGGACUGAGAUACGGCCCAGACUCCUACGGGAGGCAGCAGUGGGGAAUAUUGCACAAUGGGCGGAAGCCUGAUGCAGCGACGCCGCGUGGGGGAUGACGGCUUUCGGGUUGUAAACUCCUUUCGACCGCGAGGAAGCCACCUGGUUGGAAGGGUGGUGACGGUAGUGGUAGAAGAAGCACCGGCUAACUACGUG